rnacentral:lncRNA from 1 species
GAAAAGAAGAAGUAAAUCUAUUUAUUCACCGAUGAUAUGAUUAUUUAUAUGGAAAUCCCAGCGGAAUGGGCAAAAGUAAUUAAUAUAACUAAUAAAUGAGCUUAACAACAGUUCCAGGGCAUAAGAUAAAUGUAGAGAAAUCAAUUAUACUUCUAUAUACUGGCAAUGAAAAAAUCAGAUAUUGAAAUAUUUUACAAAUACUGUAUAUAGUUAUAGCAGAAUUAUAAACUGCUUAUAUAAACCUCACAAAAGUUAGGGCUUACCUUGCAACAAAAACUAGCAACAUAAUGUUGACAGACAUUAAAAAAAACUGAAUAAAUGGAGAGUUAUAUUGUGUUCUAGAUUGGAAUAUCAAUAUUGUUAAGAUGUCACCUCUCCCCAAAUAGAUCUAUAAAUCCAAUGCCUUCUGAAUAAAACUCCCACAGACCUUCUUUGUAGAAAUUAAAAAACUGAUCCUAAAAUUAAAAUGGAAAUGCAAAAAGUAUAGAAGUCAAAACAACUUUAAAAAAAAUAAUGUUUGAAAACUAAUGAUGCCGUAUUUUAAGAUUAUACAGAAUAAUGAGGAUAUUGAAAAAAAGGCUGUACAGGUACACAGAUAGACCAAUGGAACAAUAUAGAGAACACAAAAAUAGAACUAUUCAUGUAUAGAUGACUGAUUUUUGACCAAUUUUCCACAAAGUUACAAAAGAAAUUUGGUGUAGAAAGAAAUCUUUUUAACGAAUGGUGCUGGAACAAAUAUCAGUAUACCCCCCAAAUGAAAUUAAAUCCAUACCCUGUGCUACAUAAAUUAUUUGCUCAAAAUAGAUCAUAAAUAUAAAACCUAAAUUUCUUAUUCAUCAAGUAGGACAUAAAGGAGGAAACUUCUGUGAAACCUUGAGCAAAAGACUUUUAAAUAGGGUAGAAAGCAUAUAAAUCAUAAAAGAAUAAAAUGAUAAAUAAGAUUUCAUCAGAAUAAAGAACUUCUCUGAAAAACAUUAAGAAAACCAGGGAGGAGAAAGAAAACACUCUGAAGACUAGGAGAAAAAUGUUUGCAAAUCACAUAUUGAUAAAGAUCUUUUAUACAAAAUAUGCAUAAAAAUAACAUUCAAAACCCUACAAGAAAAUAAAAAAAAAAAAUCCAGUAUAAUCAUAGGCAAAAUGAUUUGGAUAGACAAUUCACCAAGGAAGCUGUAUGGUGGCAAGAGCAUUUGAAACAUAGCUCAUCUUUACUCAUUAGGGAAGUAAAAGUUAAAACCACAAUGAAAUAUUGCUACAUAAAUAUUAGAACGUCUAAAUUUCUUUAAACAUUAGAUGGACCCUUACCCAAUGAGCCAGCCAUUCUACCCCUAGCUAUGUAUUCAAGAAAAUAGAAAGCAUAUGUCCUGGCAAAUAUUUUACAAUAAUGUUCAUAGCAAUGACCAAACACUGAGAAAAACCUCAGAUGUUCAUGAAAAGGCGAAUGGAUAAACUAGUUGUGGCAUAUCCAUUCAGGGUAAUACUACUUAUCAACAUAAAAAAACCCAUUUCUACUUGCAGCAACAUAGCUUAAUCUAAAAAUAAUUAUGCUGAGUGAAAGGAGCCAGACCAAACCAAAAGUUCAGGUUUCAUGAUUUAUUUGCAUGGAAUUCUAGAAAAUAGUGUGUAAUGAUAGAAGGCACUGUCAGGAUUUGCUUGGGAACAGGUGGGGCAGGUGUGGUGGGCAGUGGCAAGAAGGAGAGAUUUCAAAGCAGGAAAAUUUUGGAAGUUGAUGGAUAUGUUCAUUAUCUUGAGUGUGGUGAUAAUUUCAUAUCCAUAUACAUAUGUUAAGACUAUCAUACACUUUGAAUUUGUACCCUUUUUAUAUUACUACAUAUACUUCAGUAAAGUUGUUAAAAACAAUAUAUGCAGUUUUCUCUUUCUCUCCCUCUCCUCCUCUUCCACUGGAGUGUGCCUCUGCUUUCUCCACCUUUUUGCUCUUCUCUCUUAAUACACAUUUAAGUGCCUCAAUAAAAAAUAAGUAAUUAAAAAAUAUAUUCACAAGAAACCCACUGAGUCACUUAAAGAACAUUUAAAUUUGACUAAUAAUAAUAUUUAUUAUUGGAUAUUAGGCAGUGAGUGAUUAUAUGUACAUGCAUACAUAGGUAUAUAUGUAUAAAUACACAUAAGCUAAUUCUGAAUUAUUUAUUUUGCUGUGAGGUUAAAACAAACAAAAAGAACCCAUAUAUUACUAUGAAUGCCUCAGUAGUAGAUACUUCUAUAUAUGCAUGUCAAUAAAUCUCUAUUGUUAGUCUGGUGGACAAGCAUGCAUUUUUUUUAAAACCUUCUGCAACCCAAGUCUGAACAUAUGUCAGCUGUUCAUGAGAGCGUGUCAGAAAACAAUCUACUACUGGCUUUGCUUAAAGCUGAAGAGGAACUGCUGAAGCAAGUAGGAUAGUAAAUGGGUCUGUUAGCCUUAGACUGAUGCUUUAAAUGAAUCACAAUUCCUAGCAACAAAACAUAAAGUAAUUGUAUAGUCUAGUCCUUUUUGUCUCUCUUCUAAAAUCUGUCGAACCCAUCUUUUAACCCUCAAAUGCAUUUUUAAAUAAUUAAUAUGCUUUAAGAAAGAGAAUCCUCAUUCAUAUUUGUUAAUCCCUUCCUUAGUCUAGCUACAAAAUGAAUCUCCAAUAAUCUGUAAAUUAAUUCUCCUAAUCUAGUAUGAGAGAAAUACCUAGAAUUGGACUGGAGGAGAAAAGUGCUGGACUAUUUUGCUAAAUGAGGUCACUGCACUCAUACAUCUUGUCCUACUCCUCCAUCUACACUUGACUCUAUGCUGGCACUCCCAUUUGAUAUUAAAAGGAUAUUGACCAUUAAACUCUGUUUGCAGCUUAAUGUCAUUCUGUUCCUGCAAUUGAGUUUACCCUUUCCCAGUCUCUGGUGGCAACACCACUGCAUUAAUUGCCUUAAUAUUCAUUCUAGCAUGUGUCUCAUGGCCUCUGGAAGGUACAUGGACAAGCUUGAGAUGUUGGUAGCAACAGAGGGAAAGGCAAAAAACCAAACUAAACUAAACAAAAGCAAAACCCUGAAACAUUUAAAAACAUUCUCAAUAGGUCAGCAAAUUAUCUUUCAGUGAAUUACAUAUCUUGAAUGUGCCACUCAUCAAAUUGAGCUUUGGCACAUUGAGAGUUUAAGGAGCCCUCAAAUGUCAGAGUCAGUGGGGGACCAUCAGCUGCAGGAGGUGAAAGACGGACCUGCUAACCUGCUGAUGGUAAAGCCUGAGCACUUCUAGUGGAGAAGCCGAAGAGUGGAUCCCGAAGAGUGGAUCCUGGCAGUGAUAUUUCUCUCACCUGUGCCCUGAGGGUCCCUUAAAUAUCAGGCAACAUCACUCAGCAGUCUUUGACUAUGUGCUCUCUGCUACAGGAGGGCAGGCUGGGCCCCCUUGUGUUCUGUUGAUUAACCGGAACCAAGGAAUUACUAAAUUCCUUGUCUGCUUGAGUAUGCUUGGGCCUGUACCACUUCUAUUCUGCCUGAUACUACAACUGACCAUUGUGGUAAUGUGUGUAAGAAUUAUGACAUCAUAUAUGCUAAUCCUUUAGUCUUGGUACUGAGGCUGGAGAAGAGAAGUGCAACCAGGUAGGAUCCUGCAGGCUAGUGGCGGGAAGGAAUGGUGAAGGCCAGGGUGCAGGGAAAAGAAGGCAGGUGUUUUCCUUGGGCAUUAGCUUUGUCUCUAAGCAUCACCCAAGGAACUCCUUUAUUUAAUGGAAGAUCCAGGUGGAAUGAUUAUGGAGAGGUGAGAGCUAUUGCUUAUGGCUCCCGUGACACCCUGAUAUGUAUGGGCCUAGAGAAUGUAAGCCUUGUUGGUUAUGAUUUUCUAUUUCUGCUUUAGCUACUUUGAGCCCUUUUAUUUGUUACACAUCUUCUCUACAUCUUGGCCUGCUAUUAGAAUAGCCAUGAUGACAGUGAGAAGGAUAAAAAAUGCUGUAAUGAAGAAUAUGUACCAAUUAAGUGCCUGGAGAGAAUUAGCGUAUGUUAACUUUGUUCCAAAAAAGUGAAUUGUACACUAGGUGAUACAGCACUGAAGGAGCCCUUAGCUUAGUUUUCUCUGCAUGUGUGUAGCUACUAAACAGAACUAUAUGUGCACAUGGAAUUUUUGGAAAGGCCCCACUAUGAGAAGAAUAUGAAUUAGAAUUCUAUGGUCUUAUCAUGUGACCUUGGAAGCCAGAGGACCUAAAGACCUGAGUGUGAAAAUCUGAGGAUUAUUCACACCAGAGGGUUGAAGUGGGCAACCUUUUUUAAUAUGAAUGCAAAGACCUGUAAGCAGCACCACUGAGACUAGACCCCAGUGUGCUUGGUGAUGAAGAGCAGGUACAGAAAACUAUUUGGUUCAUCUGGUUUGGAUGACAGCAUCAUCUGGGUAGCACCAGGUGAUGCUGAAACCCAGAUUCUGUACGCUUCAUGUUGCUGGUGAACUACCAGGCUUAUGCCAGAGAGUGGAGAGAGUGCCAGACAGAAGCUUCCCUGGUGAGAAAUGACUUAAUUAACAUUUCUUCUAGAGCCUUGUCAAAGAUGGUCCUGAGUUGCAUGAGGCACUCUUGUGCCUCAGAUUUGACAAACUAUGUGGCCGCAUGACAGCAGCCAGGGCUAACUGUGAAUCGAACCCUCACCACCACAGUAACCCAAGCCACUUGCAGUGACAAUGCUGGAUCCUUAACCUACUGCACCAUUAGGAAACCACCCUCCCCCCUCAGUUGUACUCUGAUCUUUAACCAAACAUGUCAGUCACUGUGUUGAUUCUGUUUCUCAUUUUAUUGAAACACAGCUACAGAAGCUGACAUUGACUGUUGAAAACGUACAGCUGUGAUGGAGUAGCAGGUUUUUGACAUCUGUUGUUGGGUGUUUUUCCUUGGCAAUAAAAUACAUUGUCAAAUCUGUAUUCUAUUCAUGAAAUUUCCACAUUGAGAAAGGUCCACAUUAGGGCUUUUGUAAUCUUUCUCUGGGUUCAAAAGCUGAUUUUUAAGAGUAGACAAGUUUUUCCUGCUGGCAUGCAUCAGAAACUCACCUGUAACCUUUGGGUUUUCAUUUAUUAUAUUAUGCAGCUUAUGGAUAGCAACUAUUAAAUGAGCCAAAAUUUGUAUAUUCCUCUUGAGGCAAAUCAGAGCACACAUUCUUAUAAUUUGGAGAACAGUAUCUCUUUGAAGUGUGUGGUCUAGAUUUAAAGGCCACAUUGCUGCCGUAUUUCUUAACUCUGAAAAGAUCAGUUCAUUUCAUUUAGCUUUUGUUUUAAAAAUGUUUUUCUAAUUUACUAUAUAUAGGCUAGAAAUUUAGUAUCACCAAAAUCGUAAAACAUAUAUGACUUCUGAAAUAAAUAUUUUCAUGUAAAAUAAAAAAAUUACAUUUGGUAGGCAUGGAACACUUCAGUAGUAGUGUUAGAAAACAGAACCAAAACCAUUACAAUAUAUAACAUGAAUUAACUUGUUUAUAUUUGUGGAAACAUUAUAUACAGUCCCUGAUAUUUCCAACUUAAUGCACAUCAUUAGAAACUGUUUCUGUACAU